rnacentral:tRNA from 1 species
GGGGCUACAGCUCAGUGGUAGAGCGGGUGCUUGGCGUGAACAUGGUCCUGGGUUCAAUCCCCAGUGCCUCUG